GACGAACGCUGGCGGCGUGCUUAACACAUGCAAGUCGAACGGAAAGGCCUGCUUUCCCUUGUGGAUUGCGGGUACUCGAGUGGCGAACGGGUGAGUAACACGUGAGUGAUCUGCCCCCAACUUGGGUAUAAGCCUGGGAAACUGGGUCUAAUUCCCGAUAGGACUGCAGGGUGGUGCCUGUGGUGGAAAACGAUUUUCUAGUGGUUGGGGAUGAGCUCGCGGCCUAUCAGCUUGUUGGUGGGGUAAUGGCCUACCAAGGCGGCGACGGGUAGCCGGCCUGAGAGGGUGGACGGCCACAUUGGGACUGAGAUACGGCCCAGACUCCUACGGGAGGCAGCAGUGGGGAAUAUUGCACAAUAGGCGGAAGCCUGAUGCAGCGACGCCGCGUGGGGGAUGACGGCCUUCGGGUUGUAAACUCCUUUCGACCGCGAGGAAGCCACCUGGUUGGAAGGGUGGUGACGGUAGUGGUAGAAGAAGCACCGGCUAACUACGUG
rnacentral:rRNA from 1 species